GGUAACACUGUCUUAACUAGCAUUUACUGAAAAAGCUAAUGUUGUGAUCUAUUACGUUCGUUGAAAUGCCACUUGAUCCAUUCAAAUUUCUCAUCGGCAUCUUGCAUGGCACUGAGAACGUCUCGAAAUCUUUUUUGCACUAGGAAAGUGCAAGCGUAGAAGUACAUGGCGUCCAUUGCUGGUGCCGACCAGUCAAAAGCAAUUCCUCCACACACACAACUCCAGCAUUGUCCG
rnacentral:lncRNA from 1 species